UACAGAGGUCUCAAGCGUUGUUCGGAUUCAUUGGGCGUAAAGGGUGCGUAGGCGGUGUGUCGCGUCGGCCGUGAAAACCUGCAGCUUAACUGUGGGCUUGCGGUCGAUACGGGCAUCACUGGAGUUCGGCAGGGGAGACUGGAAUUCCUGGUGUAGCGGUGAAAUGCGCAGAUAUCAGGAGGAACACCGGUGGCGAAGGCGGGUCUCUGGGCCGAUACUGACGCUGAGGAGCGAAAGCGUGGGGAGCGAACAGG
rnacentral:rRNA from 1 species